AACAAACGCUGGCGGCGUGCCUAAUACAUGCAAGUCGAACGGGGAAAGCUUUCGGGUGAGUACUAGUGGCGCACGGGUGAGUAACGCGUGGAUAAUCUGCCUUAGAGUGGGGGAUAACUAGUCGAAAGAUUAGCUAAUACCGCAUAAGACCACAAGAACUGCGGUUCAAGAGGUCAAAGGUUUUUCGCUUUAAGAUGAGUCCGCGUAAGAUUAGCUAGUUGGUGAGGUAACGGCUCACCAAGGCAACGAUCUUUAACUGGUCUGAGAGGAUGAUCAGUCACACUGGAACUGAGACACGGUCCAGACUCCUACGGGAGGCAGCAGUAGGGAAUAUUGCACAAUGGAGGAAGCUCUGAUGCAGCGACGCCGCGUGAGUGAUGAAGGCCUUCGGGUCGUAAAGCUCUGUCGCAGGGGAAUAACACAAUGAAUGUACCCUGUAAGAAAGGAUCGGCUAACUUCGUGCCAGCCGCCGCAGUAAGAC
rnacentral:rRNA from 1 species